UACGUAGGGUCCGAGCGUUGUCCGGAAUUAUUGGGCGUAAAGGGCUCGUAGGCGGUUCGUCACGUCGGGAGUGAAAACUCGGGGCUUAACUCCGGGCCUGCAGUGGGUACGGGCAGACUAGAGUGCGGUAGGGGAGACUGGAAUUCCUGGUGUAGCGGUGAAAUGCGCAGAUAGUCAGGAGGAACACCGGUGGCGAAGGCGGGUCUCUGGGCCGAUACUGACGCUGGAGGAGCGAAAGCGUGGGGAGC
rnacentral:rRNA from 1 species